UUAAGGACCACCUCGGUCCAACCCCUGCCAUGGCCAGGAACACCUUCCACUAGACCAGGUUGCUCCAAGCACCAUCUAGCCCGGCCUUGACCACUUCUAGGGAUGGGGCAGACACAACUUCCCUGGGCAACUUGUUCCAGUGCCUCACCACCUUCCCAGUAAAGAAUUUUUUCCUAAUAUCGAAUCUAAACCUGCUCUCUUUGAAUUUGAACCCAUCCCGCCUUAUCCUGUCAUGACAUGGUCUUGUAAGUUAUCUUGUCACAUUUUUCCUGUAAGUUCCCUUCAGACGCUGGAAGGUCACAACGAAAACUACCUCAAAGCCUUCUCUUUUUCAGGCCGAAGAACCCCGGUUCUCUCAGCCUUAUCUUGCUGGAGAGGUGCUCCAUCCCUCUGAUCAACUCCUUCGUGGCCUCCUUUGAAGGUGUAAUUGUUACAGGCAGGUGUAUUAACCCUCUUUUUCACCACAGCGAGUAACAAAGCUUCCAGCAAAACUAUUUUAGGGGAGAAGUGUUUUGUCACACUGACUCAGUUUAGCGUGGUGUUAUCUCUGGUAUGUAGACAGAAACUUUUUUUUUUUUUUUUUUUAAUAGGAAGUCAAAAUGAGUAACACCUAAUGGAGUGACGAAGCAGAAUUUCCAAAGAGUACAGCUGUGAGAAGCAUCAACACCAAAGGAAUAAUGCUAGCAGUGAAGUCUGUGAGUAAAGUUCCUUGUGGACCACCGUGACUCAGACCAGCACAGAGGCUGCUCAGGCGCUCUUCACCUAAUGAGGCAUUGUGAAACCCAUAUCACAUGAAGUCAUGUGAAGUUCUAGGUUAAAAGAGCCCUUUAGGAGCUGCUUCAACAGAGGUAACUUUGGGUUUACAUAUCAUAGAAUCAUGGAAGAGUUUGAGUCGGAAAGGACCUUAAAGAUCAUCCAGUUCCAAGUAACUUCAGUGAGACGGUGAAAGUUUCUUUUGCCGCUUUCAUUCCCCUAACCUCUGGAGAUCCUCAGUACAUGGAGCUCCUAGAGUGGGUCCAGCGGAGGAUACAAACACGAUUGAGGGGCUGGAACAUCUCUGUUACAAGGAAAGACUGAGGGAGCUGGAGCUGUUCAGCCUGGAGAAGAGAUGGCUGAGAGGGGACCUCAUCAAUGUCUGUCAGUGUCUGCAGGAAGGGGUCAGAGCAUGGACCAGGCAUGUGGAGCAGGAACUGAUGCCCAGGAAGUUCUACCUGAAUAUGAGGAAGAACUUCUUCCCUGUGC